AUUGAACGCUGGCGGAAUGCUUUACACAUGCAAGUCGAGCGGCAGCACGGGGGUUACCCUGGUGGCGAGCGGCGAACGGGUGAGUAAUACAUCGGAACAUGCCCAGUCGUGGGGGAUAACACUUCGAAAGAAGUGCUAAUACCGCAUACGUCCUGAGGGGGAAAGCGGGGGAUCGCAAGACCUCGCGCGAUUGGAGUGGCCGAUGUCAGAUUAGCUAGUUGGUGGGGUAAAGGCCUACCAAGGCAACGAUCUGUAGCUGGUCUGAGAGGAUGAUCAGCCACACUGGGACUGAGACACGGCCCAGACUCCUACGGGAGGCAGCAGUGGGGAAUUUUGGACAAUGGGGGCAACCCUGAUCCAGCCAUUCCGCGUGAGAGAAGAAGGCCUUCGGGUUGUAAAGCUCUUUCGGCAGGAACGAAACGCUGUGCUCUAACAUAGCGUGCUAAUGACGGUACCUGAAGAAGAAGCACCGGCUAACUACGCG
rnacentral:rRNA from 1 species